GGAUUGGUAGCUCAGAGGCAGAGCGCUCGCCUGUUAAGCGAGGGGUCGGGAUUUCGAAACUCCCCCUUUCCG
rnacentral:tRNA from 1 species